GCUGCCAGUUAGGAGGCAGAAUACAAGUCCUGUCACCUCCACCAAGCAGCAGGGUAGCAUAAAAAGAAGUCUAAGGACCUAAUAUCCUGUCCUCUUAUGAGCUGAGACCCACCCCCAGAACCCAGAACUGAACCGCUAAGUCAAAAGAGUUGAGAAAAAGUAUCUAAAACAACAGAAACAAAUCAGAGGACUGGCAGAGUUUCUCACCUUUGGCUAGGGCCAAGGACUCAGGAAGCAAGGCUGGAAUAAGUUUACCCAUAGACCAGUUACAGCUCCCAGCAUACACCUGGGCCGUGUGGAUCACUUUUACCUGCGGGGGAGUCAACUUCCUCCCUCCUGCCUUGUCUGAGCGACAGGCAAGCAGCAGGCCUGCACCAGAGAGGCGGGUCCCUAGCAGGGCAGAGAGAGGAGCCGAUGCGAUCAUAUGCGGAGAGGUCUAGAACACAAGUAUCCUGCCACGAGAAUUGCGUUUGCAGGCUCUCAGCCAGCCUACCACACUGGUGGGAGGGGAAGGAGACUUGGCAAAAACCCAAAGUAGGUGUGACUUCUGUCUGUCCCAGCACUGUGAGUCACCCAGCUGCCUUGGUCCAUGGGAGUAAGGAACUGCGAGGCACCUGACUGUUUGGACCAUGCAAAUAUAGGUCUGAAUUAGAGGUUUCUGACAUGAGAGGAUCUGGGAUUCUGCCUGUGUUCGCCACUAGUAUUUAAAUUUG